CUUUAGAAGUUUUAAUCUCCUGCUCUGUUGUAACCGUGGAAGCGUGCAGAAGCCGAACACAGAGAGAUGGACACAGGUAUUCAGGAAGUAAGAGGCCUUUAUUCACGUACCGAUCGGGUCUCAGAUGAACUCCUGUUCCAAAAAUAUGUGAGCCCUGAACACAUGGAGUACAUUCAUUAUAUAGCACUGUAGCUCCUCCCAUAAUUAGCUACGCCCACACAUACCCUUAACCUAAU